UCUUCCUACAGUAAACGACAGAAUUUUAGGUCCAUAAAAGUUGUCUUGAUCUAUUCAACAAAAUGUCAUUCCGUUUUUUGAAAUUUGUGAAAGCUGUUAGACUUCGAAAUUCCAAGUUUACAGAUUUUGAAAUAGCGAAGGCGGCGGCAGAAGCUUGGCGUGGCAUGUCUGGUGCAGAAAAGAAGUUUUGCGAUGCAAUGAGCGUAUACGAUAUUCCUAUGUCUAUGGUCAGGAUUUGUGAGAAAUGCUGCAAGGUGAAGAGAGAUAUGAAAGAUCUCACAAAAUGUAUGGAAAUGAUUUUUAAACGGAAGAAGCGUUCCGCAGUAAAAAAACGCAGGAGAAGAAAAUAAACCCUAAAACAGACUGGAUCAGAUAAACAUUAAACAGUAUUUGUGGCUUAUAACAACUCAUGUAUCCAGUCUUUGCUAUUUGCCAGUCUCAGCCACAUAUAAUAUAUAUAAUAUUUAGACGCAUAUACACAUAUAUAUAUACACAUAUACACACAUAAGAAAACUCACUAAAUGUUAUGUUUUUAACCAACGCUUGUGUUAUGUUGUAAUCCUCUGGAAAAAUACUAGUUAUCUUAGAUAUAUGAAAAUCGAUCCAUUCUAACUAAAAUCAAGUCCAUAAUGCUGAGUCUAUAAUUUAAAUAUAGUUUGAUGAAAUUAAAAUUUAUAAGUCCCAGAAUAACAAAAAUGUCGUACGAAUAAAGAGGGUAGGAACCAUUCAAAAAUUAAUUUAUCGAAAACAAAUGAUAAUCUAUUUUAAAGCAAAAUUUAUUAAAUUCAAAAAAAUUCUCUUCAAGAUCUUGAAAAUAUUCCAAUCCAUCCACGAAAAACGGAUCCGCGAAAAGAAGAAAGAAAAUCAUAUCAAAACCGUAACAUAUUUAGUUAUAAAAUUUUUAAUG